UACGUAGGGGGCAAGCGUUGUCCGGAUUUAUUGGGCGUAAAGAGCGUGUAGGCGGCCUUACAGGUCAGCUGUGAAAACUCGAGGCUCAACCUCGAGACGUCGGUUGAAACCGUAUGGCUAGAGUCCGGAAGAGGAGAGUGGAAUUCCCGGUGUAGCGGUGAAAUGCGCAGAUAUCGGGAGGAACACCAAUGGCGAAGGCAGCUCGCUGGGACGGUACUGACGCUGAGGCGCGAAAGCGUGGGGAGCAAACAGG
rnacentral:rRNA from 1 species